rnacentral:rRNA from 1 species
GGUUAAGCGACUAAGCGUACACGGUGGAUGCCCUGGCAGUCAGAGGCGAUGAAGGGCGUGCUAAUCUGCGAUAAGCGCCGGUAAGGUGAUAUGAACCGUUAUAACCGGCGAUACCCGAAUGGGGAAACCCAGUGUGAUUCGUCACACUAUCAUUAACUGAAUCCAUAGGUUAAUGAGGCGAACCGGGGGAACUGAAACAUCUAAGUACCCCGAGGAAAAGAAAUCAACCGAGAUUCCCCCAGUAGCGGCGAGCGAACGGGGAGGAGCCCAGAGCCUGAAUCAGCAUGUGUGUUAGUGGAAGCGUCUGGAAAGGCGCGCGAUACAGGGUGACAGCCCCGUACACAAAAGCGCAUGUGCUGUGAGCUCGAUGAGUAGGGCGGGACACGUGGUAUCCUGUCUGAAUAUGGGGGGACCAUCCUCCAAGGCUAAAUACUCCUGACUGACCGAUAGUGAACCAGUACCGUGAGGGAAAGGCGAAAAGAACCCCGGCGAGGGGAGUGAAAAAGAACCUGAAACCGUGUACGUACAAGCAGUGGGAGCCCCACCACUAAGCCAGUGGUGAACUCCACAUACGCAUCCUUUGCUGAAGGCAAUGGUUAACGGAGCGAAAGCGACGUUCAACCGCAAAACAAGCAGAGGGGGCUUAGUGGUGGGGUGACUGCGUACCUUUUGUAUAAUGGGUCAGCGACUUAUAUUCUGUAGCAAGGUUAACCGAAUAGGGGAGCCG